GGGGAUGUAGCUCAGCCGCAUAAGUGCCUGCCUGGCAAGCACGAGGUCCUGAGUUCAAUUCUCAGUACCA
rnacentral:tRNA from 1 species